AAGAGGGUCGGCCUCAUUCUCUUCCUCAAACCUUAUCUCUUCUUCCCCAUUCCUCACCCAGAUCCGAAGAUACUUCGAUUUCUAGUCGCCUAAACGUUGGAAUCCAUAUCAUUCUUUUCUUCCCAAGGUCAAAUUUCUCGAUCGAUUGGGUUCUUAAUUCUUUGGAUCGUAUUGUAGUCGGUAGGCUGUUGUUUUAGGAGAUGUAUUCCAAAAGAUGAGCAGACAGUGAGAUUGGAUUCUGUUGAUGGUCGUCUCCUCCUCAAAGAAGCUGAACGAGUUGAUGGCGAGGGAUGUUGGUUUCAGGACCCUGGCGUUCUUGAUCUGGAUAAGGUAAAGGCUGUAAUUCAUCCCUCUCAGCUUUUGAUGUGGCCUCCGAGUCCCCGACGCAUGCGUAAGCCAUUCUCAAAAUUGAAAGGUGAGAGCCUAAUUCCCCUAACACCAAAACCCCAAUUCGAAUUGGGCACUGAGGAUCCAAACCUCAAUUUCAAUUCUACAAGGUAACCAUCUCGAUUCCUCAUAGUUUUUCCACAUCAAUACACGAAUUAGGAUUUCCAAGAUUACCUUACUUAUAUGUACUUUGUUAAAUUUUUUAAAUUUCGUGUUCAUAGCUACUCUGCUAGUCUUUUUGGGGCGUGAAAUUGAAGAUUCCAAUGUGUUUCGCUUGAAAUUUAGAGCUCCAGGGAGAAGCCUUUUCUGUAUGAAAUUGUGGCAACUGGGCGUAAUGGUUUGAUUAUCUUGUCCGUCACAGCCGAGCUUGUGAGUUUUUAUGUCUAAUUUAUUGGUUAACUAUUGUAAUUUGUGUAUUUACUUGAUUAUAUGGUUUGCCAAUUUGUUGGGUAGAAAUUGAGUUGAGGAAAAGGAUUGGAAAUUUGGGAUUAUGUGGUUUUUGCUGAUAAUACACACACACUGUCUCUCUCUCUCUCUCUCAGUUUUCUAUUAAUUAAGAUCUCUCUUCUUCGCCUCUCUUUACUUCCUCACACAAUCCAAAGAUCGAAACUUUAAAUGAAAUCUACAAUUUACUGCUGCUUUGUUGUUGAGUUUCGAAAAUUCUUGUUUACAAUAGAAACUUCUUGAUGAGAAUCCUUAUUCUCUACUCAAACUGAUUCGUUUUCUCUUUCUCUAGUUUGAUUUUGAUAAUGCUACCCCACCAAAACAAGCCUAGAGGAGGAAGUUAAACAGCCAUGCUAACUUUUAUAAAUGAAAUAUUCUUUUGGUUUUUAGUUUUUACCCAGUAUUGUGGGUACCCUGCACUAUAUAUUCUAUUUGAGAAAUUGUUGUGGACUAUAUGCUCUCAAAUUCCCCUGAAUGGAUGUAGCCUAUAUAUCUAGGUUCAAUGCUGGAUGCCUGUAGUUCUGAGUCUCUGUCGGUAAUU